ensembl:snRNA U6 U6 spliceosomal RNA
GCUUGCUUCAGCAGACAUAUAACAAAAUUGGAACGACAUGACAAGAUUGGCACAGCCUCGUGCAAGGAUGACACACGCCUUUGAGAAGAGUUCCACAUUUUU